rnacentral:lncRNA from 1 species
GCGGUGAUGCGAUUAGAGUUUCUAGUUUGUGAUUUGGCUUUCCAUGACGGUGCGCAGGUGGAUUUCGCAAUUAGGAUAUUUUGGUUCGCGAUUUGGGCUUGUGUUUGUAGGUGACUGAUGUGAGGGUUUUGUGAUUCUUGAUGCUUCCAUGGUUGAUAGCAAUGAUGAUUCACGAGUUGGGUUUUGUAGCUGUGAGAAUAUGUGGUAGUUGAACAAACAUGGUGCCUCACCAUAGUUGAUUUGAUUUGCAGUGAUGGAGAUGUUAGGUUUCAUUUCCAAUUUGUGGUCUUUGGCUUUUUGAUUUGUACUUUAGAACUUGCAAUAAAGCUUCGUGUUGAAGAGGCACGAAAUGGGUCGUUAGGGUUUCGUUGUGGCUUCUAUUAGUGGUGCGAGGAAGUGGUGGCUAAUAGAGGUUUCUAUGAUGGAUUGUAGUUGCACUGUUGAUGGUUUCACGUUUGGUUUGGAUGGUUGGCCAUGGAAGUUCUCCCGG